rnacentral:rRNA from 1 species
GAUGAACGCUGGCGGCGUGCCUAAUACAUGCAAGUCGAGCGAACAGACGCGUAGCUUUCUCCUCUGUCUUUAUCGGUGGCCGGGGGAGUAACACGUGGUUAACCUCCCUCUAAGACUUUGAUAACUUCGGCAUACCGGAGCGACUACCGGAUAAUAUAUUGAACCUCUUGGUUCAUUAGUCAAAGACGGUUAUUCUGUCACUUAUAGAUGGAUCCGCGCCGCAUUAGCUAGUUGGUAGGGUAACGGCUUACCAAGGCGACGAUGCGUAGCCGACCUGAGAGGGUGAUCGGCCACAAUGGAACUGAGACACGGUCCAGACUCCUACGGGAGGCAGCAGUAGGGAAUCUUACGCAAUGGGCGGAAGACGGACGAAGCAACGACGCGUGAGUGAUGAAGGUCUUCUGAUCGUAAAAAUCUGUUAUUAGGGAAGAAGAAAUGUGUAAGUAACUAUGCACGGCUUGACGGUACCUAAACAGAAAGCCACGGCUAACUACGUG